rnacentral:rRNA from 1 species
UACGUAGGUGGCAAGCGUUGUCCGGAUUUACUGGGCGUAAAGGAUGCGUAGGCGGACAUUUAAGUCAGAUGUGAAAUACCCGAGCUUAACUUGGGUGCUGCAUUUGAAACUGGGUGUCUAGAGUGCAGGAGAGGUAAGUGGAAUUCCUAGUGUAGCGGUGAAAUGCAUAGAGAUUAGGAAGAACACCAGUGGCGAAGGCGACUUACUGGACUGUAACUGACGCUGAGGCAUGAAAGCGUGGGGAGCAAACAGG